rnacentral:rRNA from 1 species
AACGAACGCUGGCGGCAUGCCUAACACAUGCAAGUCGAACGAGACCUUCGGGUCUAGUGGCGCACGGGUGCGUAACGCGUGGGAACCUGCCCUUAGGUUCGGAAUAACUCCCCGAAAGGGGUGCUAAUACCGGAUAAUGUCUUCGGACCAAAGAUUUAUCGCCUUUGGAUGGGCCCGCGUUGGAUUAGCUAUUUGGUAGGGUAAAAGCCUACCAAGGCGACCAUCCAUAGCUGGUCUGAGAGGAUGAUCAGCCACACUGGGACUGAGACACGGCCCAGACUCCUACGGGAGGCAGCAGUGGGUAAUAGUGGACAAUGGGCGAAAGCAUGAUCCAGCAAUGCCGGGUGAGUGAUGAAGGCCUUAGGGUUGUAAAGCUCUUUUAACCGGGAUGAUAAUGACAGUACCGGGAGAAUAAGCGCCGGCUAACUCCGUG